rnacentral:rRNA from 1 species
GGGGUGCAAGCGUUAAUCGGAAUUUACUGGGCGUAAAGCGCGCGUAGGCGGUCUAAUUAAGUCAGAAUGUGAAAUCCCCGGGCUCAACUUGGGAACUGCAUUCGAUACUGGCUGGCUAGAGUGUGGGAGAGGAGGGUAGAAUUCCAGGUGUAGCGGUGAAAUGCGUAGAGAUCUGGAGGAAUACCGAUGGCGAAGGCAGCCCUCUGGCCUAACACUGACGCUCAGGUGCGAAAGCAUGGGGAGCAAACAGGAUUAGAUACCCUGGUAGUCCAUGCCGUAAACGAUGUCUACUAGCCGGUGGGGCCUUUGAGGCGUUAGUUGCGCAGCUAACGCGAUAAGUAGACCGCCUGGGGAGUACGGUCGCAAGACUAAAACUCAAAUGAAUUGACGGGGGCCCGCACAAGCGGUGGAGCAUGUGGUUUAAUUCGAUGCAACGCGAAGAACCUUACCUGGCCUUGACAUAGUAGAAACUUUCCAGAGAUGGAUUGGUGCCUUCGGGAAUUUACAUACAGGUGCUGCAUGGCUGUCGUCAGCUCGUGUUGUGAGAUGUUGGGUUAAGUCCCGCAACGAGCGCAACCCUUUUCCUUACUUGCCAGCAUUUCGGAUGGGAACUUUAAGGAUACUGCCAGUGACAAACUGGAGGAAGGCGGGGACGACGUCAAGUCAUCAUGGCCCUUACGGCCAGGGCUACACACGUGCUACAAUGGUCGGUACAAAGGGAAGCUACCUAGCGAUAGCAAGCUAAUCUCAAAAAGCCGAUCGUAGUCCGGAUUGGAGUCUGCAACUCGACUCCA